rnacentral:rRNA from 1 species
UACGAAGGGGCUAGCGUUGCUCGGAAUCACUGGGCGUAAAGCGCACGUAGGCGGACUCUUAAGUCGGUGGUGAAAUCCUGGAGCUCAACUCCAGAACUGCCUUCGAUACUGGGAGUCUCGAGUCCGGGAGAGGUGAGUGGAACUGCGAGUGUAGAGGUGAAAUUCGUAGAUAUUCGCAAGAACACCAGUGGCGAAGGCGGCUCACUGGCCCGGUACUGACGCUGAGG